GACUACUGGGGUAUCUAAUCCUGUUUGCUACCCACGCUCUCGCGUCUCAGCGUCAGUAUAGGGCCAGAAAGUCGCCUUCGCCACCGGUGUUCCUCCUGAUAUCUACGAAUUUCACCUCUACACCAGGAAUUCCACUUUCCUCUCCCUUACUCAAGCUGAACAGUUUCAAAUGCACUUCCUGGGUUAAGCCCAGGGCUUUCACAUCUGACUUAUCCAGCCGCCUACACGCUCUUUACGCCCAAUGAUUCCGAACAACGCUAGCACCCCCCGUGGUACCGCGGCUGCCGGUGCUUCCUUUAGCGGUACCGUCAAGCAUAAUGGAUAUUAGCCACUAUGCAUUUCUUCCCGCUCGACAGAGCUUUACGGUCCGAAAACCUUCCUCACUCACGCGGCGUUGCUGCGUCAGGGUUGCCCCCAUUGCGCAAUAUUCCUCACUGCAGCCUCCCGUAGG
rnacentral:rRNA from 1 species